UGUGUGUGUGUGUGUGUGUGUGUGUGUGUGUGUUGGCAUUCAUCACGUCCUGGGGACAACAAACUGUUUACACAGUCACGUCAUGGGGACCUCUAACAGUAUGGGGACGAAAAAUGAGGUCCCCUAAAGGGAAACUCUUUUAAAUGAAUGCAGGAGUCUAUCUGAAGGUGCCUGUGUGGUUUUUAGCUUUGGCCCAUUGGGCAUGUUUUCCAGUUAGUGUGUGUGUGUGAACGGGGCAUGCUUGCGCCCCCUUACUGUAUGAGCUGGUAAGGCACUCACCGUUCCACACACACAGAUCUUCCAAAUAUGGUAUGUUACCGCCCACUUCCUGGUCCCCAUUAAGAAGGAUUUUAGGAGCAAACACAAUUUUCAGUGUUUAAAGGGAGCAUCGCAAAGGCCCUUCAAUUAAAGAUGUUUGUCACAUAAAAAGAGGAACAACAACACCACAAGGUAAGCAAUAUUAUCUUAUUUACUUACUUGCUAUAAUCAUUAUUUGUAUAGAUGACCAUUUUAAACCACUAAUGAGGUUAAUUAGUGUUAAUUAGUUAGUAGGAUAGCUAGUUAGCUUUAAUUAGCAACAGAAGGCUAGUGUAACUAGCAAAUUUACAAUGUUUUACUAACAAUGUUUUUAGCUUUCCCUGAAAGCUACUGUUAGUUGUUACAUGAUGGAUGGAUUAUGUGCAUUUCUAGGAGUUUAUACCAACUAAAAAAAGUGAAAUAUUUUUCAGUGUGUAACAGAGAAAUUUAAAAUACAUUUCCAGGUAAUGAAUUUAGUAAUAUAUAGAGGUGUAACUUAAUCCUAGGUAUAUAUAGGUGAGAUAUAUUAUAGAAAAAUUGUAAAGAGAUGUUUUGAUGAUUUAAAGCAAGCUGUCCAUGUUAAGAGAAAGUGCAUCUGGACAGGUAUUUUUGGGACCUGAGCUUGACAAGGCUGCAAUUUGAUGUUUGUAUCUUUAAAGUGACUAGUGAAGUGAUUCCACAUGCCUCCUCUACAUAAAUGGGUCCUGAUUGAUUUUACUACCAGAAAAAAAGUAAACUUAGCUUACUUAUAAUUAUUAAUAUUAAUUUAUUAUUAAAAAUUAAUAAUUUAGAAUAGGGCAUGGCAAGAAGGGAAGGCAUCUGACACUGAGCCGACAGGAAAGGGCGAGUAUGGGGCAAAAAGUUAUAGAGCUAAGCCUCUGAACACCCACACAGUUUUUUCAGUUUAUCUUGCUGAUUAUUAGUCUUCUUGGGACUGUAUGGGUGUGUAUACUGUGAUUGAUUGACAUCUUCCUGAGUCUUCUGUCAGCUUUGUUACACCUGUUAGGGCAGGACAAAAUAUACCUUCACCAUUCGUAUUGGAGAUUUAGAUUUGUGACCUCAUGGAGUUUCAUCAAAGCUUAAGCCCACCCUAAACCUGAGCAGAGGUCUAAUCAGCCAUAAUAACUGAAAACACCUGUGUGGAUGUUCACUUAGAGCCUCUAAUUGUAUUGUAAUAGAACUAAAGCCAAAGCUGUCUCAUUAAACAUUUCUCUGCAGUUUUAAAUGCCACCAAGGUCAGUCCUCUUAAGGAUGCCCUUCAGCAUGUUCACUUCAUAUACAUAUUGAAAAUGAUUUUGAGACAUUUAAUUGCAAAACUUCAGGAUGCAUUAGAUAAGCUUAGGUCAAUAAAGCUGCCAUCAAAUGCACUAAUAAUUUGGAAUUGUGUUUUUAGGACAUAUUGCCACAGACUAAUUAACAUUCGUAAUGUCCUGUUUUUUUUGAAAAUGUAUUACUUUGUCUUACAGGACGUGGUGUAUUUGCCCUAUCUUCAUUCUUCAAAGGAGAUUUUGUACUGGAAUACAGAGGAGACAUGAUAGAUGAUGCAGAAUCUCAAAGGAGAAGGUGCAUGUAUCACUCAUCAUGUGUUGCAUUCAUGCUUCAUUCAAGUGGAGAGGGAGAACAUGGUGAUGACCAUGAAUGCAGCUGAUGCUGUCAUUCCUGUGGAAAGCUCCCAGCAUGCUGUCUUGUUAGAGACGCAGAUGACUGAAACUUUGAGUCCAUGAGACACUAAUCAACAGAUGACCAUGAAUGCAGCUGAUGCUGUCAUUCCUGUGGAAAGCUCCCAGCAUGCUGUCUUGUUAGAGACGCAGAUGACUGAAACUUUGAGUCCAUGAGACACUAAUCAACAGAUGACCAUGAAUGCAGCUGAUGCUGUCAUUCCUGUGGAAAGCUCCCAGCAUGCUGUCUUGUUAGAGACGCAGAUGACUGAAACUUUGAGUCCAUGAGACACUAAUCAACAGAUGACCAUGAAUGCAGCUGAUGCUGUCAUUCCUGUGGAAAGCUCCCAGCAUGCUGUCUUGUUAGAGACGCAGAUGACUGAAACUUUGAGUCCAUGAGACACUAAUCAACAGAUGAAAGGCACAGAUGUUGAAGAUUCAAAUGAAGUAUCCGACUCUAUACAAGUUUGUAUUGUUGCUUUCAGUUUUGUCUUGAGAGAACGCAAAUGAGCAGGACUCAAUAAAAAGUUUAAAUGUAUAAUUUAAAUGAGAGUUUGACUUCUUGAACUAACGAAAUUAUUUUUUACUAUGAAGUAAUGCAGCAAACAACACAGACAAACAUGAAUACUAGUUUUAGGGUUGUUGAGUAUUCUGUGACUGAGAAGUACAAUAUUCCACAGUUUCUGGGUAGUUGACUGUGGUUAAAAAUAAGAACCAUGUGAGACGUAAACGAAGAAAAACCCUUACAGUGAAAUUAAGGUUGAAAAGUUUGAUGGGUGAGACAACAAUUUAGUAAUUCACUACUAAAUUCUUGGUACUUAAGUGACCCCUGAUAUCAAGAUUAAGUUAGAACAAUGUCUCUAGUAUAAAUGAUAUGUAAAUCAUUUGAUUCCCAUUUUAUUUGUAUAACAAAUUGUAUGUUUACCCUGUUUUCGCUAUAAAUAAAAACUAAAAAAGUA